rnacentral:rRNA from 1 species
UACGUAGGCAGCAAGCGUUUGUUCGGAGUUACUGGGCGUAAAGGGCGCGUAGGCGGAUGUUUAAGUCAGAGGUGAAAGCCCAGGGCUCAACCUUGGAACUGCCUUUGAUACUGGGCAUCUUGAGUAUGGGAGAGGUGAGUGGAACUCCGAGUGUAGAGGUGAAAUUCGUAGAUAUUCGGAAGAACACCAGUGGCGAAGGCGACUCACUGGCCCAUUACUUGACGCUGAGGCGCGAAAGCGUGGGGGAGCAA